rnacentral:pre_miRNA from 1 species
AAAAAGACAAACCCUGGUUUCCGUGUUCAACGUUUAACCGUCCGUCUUAUUUGAAAAAAUUAUGAAAAAAUUUAAAAGACAAGUCACGCAUAAAAUAUUAAUCAUGUUUAUCAUCAAACAACAAUGAAAAUACGAAUUAUAAAAAAAAUUCAUAUAAAACGGACAGUCAAAGUUGGAUACGAAAACCCAGGAUUUGACUUUUU